GACGAACGCUGGCGGCGUGCUUAACACAUGCAAGUCGAACGGAAAGGCCCUGCUUUUGUGGGGUGCUCGAGUGGCGAACGGGUGAGUAACACGUGAGUAACCUGCCCUUGAUUUUGGGAUAACUUCAGGAAACUGGGGCUAAUACCGGAUAGGAGCUCCUGCUGCAUGGUGGGGGUUGGAAAGUUUCGGCGGUUGGGGAUGGACUCGCGGCUUAUCAGCUUGUUGGUGGGGUAGUGGCUUACCAAGGCUUUGACGGGUAGCCGGCCUGAGAGGGUGACCGGCCACAUUGGGACUGAGAUACGGCCCAGACUCCUACGGGAGGCAGCAGUGGGGAAUAUUGCACAAUGGGCGGAAGCCUGAUGCAGCAACGCCGCGUGCGGGAUGACGGCCUUCGGGUUGUAAACCGCUUUCGCCUGUGACGAAGCGUGAGUGACGGUAAUGGGUAAAGAAGCACCGGCUAACUACGUGCCAGCAGCCGCGGUGAUACGUAGGGUGCGAGCGUUGUCCGGAUUUAUUGGGCGUAAAGGGCUCGUAGGUGGUUGAUCGCGUCGGAAGUGUAAUCUUGGGGCUUAACCCUGAGCGUGCUUUCGAUUCGGGUUGACUUGAGGAAGGUAGGGGAGAAUGGAAUUCCUGGUGGAGCGGUGGAAUGCGCAGAUAUCAGGAGGAACACCAGUGGCGAAGGCGGUUCUCUGGGCCUUUCCUGACGCUGAGGAGCGAAAGCGUGGGGAGCGAACAGGCUUAGAUACCCUGGUAGUCCACGCUGUAAACGGUGGGUACUAGGUGUGGGGUCCAUUCCACGGGUUCCGUGCCGUAGCUAACGCUUUAAGUACCCCGCCUGGGGAGUACGGCCGCAAGGCUAAAACUCAAAGGAAUUGACGGGGCCCCGCACAAGCGGCGGAGCAUGCGGAUUAAUUCGAUGCAACGCGUAGAACCUUACCUGGGUUUGACAUGGAUCGGGAGUGCUCAGAGAUGGGUGUGCCUCUUUUGGGGUCGGUUCACAGGUGGUGCAUGGCUGUCGUCAGCUCGUGUCGUGAGAUGUUGGGUUAAGUCCCGCAACGAGCGCAACCCUUGUUCACUGUUGCCAGCACGUUAUGGUGGGGACUCAGUGGAGACCGCCGGGGUCAACUCGGAGGAAGGUGGGGAUGACGUCAAGUCAUCAUGCCCCUUAUGUCCAGGGCUUCACGCAUGCUACAAUGGCUGGUACAGAGAGUGGCGAGCCUGUGAGGGUGAGCGAAUCUCGGAAAGCCGGUCUCAGUUCGGAUUGGGGUCUGCAACUCGACCUCAUGAAGUCGGAGUCGCUAGUAAUCGCAGAUCAGCAACGCUGCGGUGAAUACGUUCCCGGGGCU
rnacentral:rRNA from 1 species